GACGAACGCUGGCGGCGUGCUUAACACAUGCAAGUCGAGCGGUAAGGCCCUUUCGGGGGGUACACGAGCGGCGAACGGGUGAGUAACACGUGGGUGACCUGCCCUUAGCUCUGGGAUAAGCCUGGGAAACUGGGUCUAAUACCGGAUAUGACUCCAUGACGCAUGUUGUGGGGUGGAAAGCCUUGUGCGGCUAGGGAUGGGCCCGCGGCCUAUCAGCUUGUUGGUGAGGUGANGGCCUACCAAGGCGACGACGGGUAGCCGGCCUGAGAGGGCGACCGGCCACACUGGGACUGAGACACGGCCCAGACUCCUACGGGAGGCAGCAGUGGGGAAUCUUGCGCAAUGGGCGAAAGCCUGACGCAGCGACGCCGCGUGAGGGAUGACGGCCU
rnacentral:rRNA from 1 species